rnacentral:misc_RNA from 1 species
GACAGAGGUGCCGAGCGUUAUUCGGAAUCAUUGGGCUUAAAGGGUGCGCAGGCGGCCGCAUAAGUCGGGUGUGAAAUCCCUCGGCUCAACCGAGGAAUUGCGCCCGAUACUGUGUGGCUUGAGGGAGACAGAGGCGAGCGGAACUGAUGGUGGAGCGGUGAAAUGCGUUGAUAUCAUCAGGAACACCGGUGGCGAAGGCGGCUCGCUGGGUCUCUUCUGACGCUCAUGCACGAAAGCUAGGGUAGUGAACAGG